rnacentral:lncRNA from 1 species
CUUCUAUGUCAACUUGCCAUUAGUUUAUUCAUUGUUGCAUCUAUUUAAAGUAUGUAAUCAGAACCAAAUGGAUCAAGGAAAAAUAUACUUCCUCACUUCUCUCUUAUGUUUUCGAAAUCUCACUCUCUCUCUCUCUCUCUCUCUCUCUCUCGGAUUCUUAGUAAAACCCUAGCUAUCUCUUCUCUUUGUUCUUGAUAAAUCACACAAGCCACUCUUAUAACUCAUUCAUUUUAUCA